rnacentral:tRNA from 1 species
AUCUAUAUAGUAUAAAAAGUAUAUUUGACUUCCAAUCAUAAGGUCUAUUAUCUAUAGUAUAG